rnacentral:rRNA from 1 species
UUACACAUGCAGUCGAACGAUGAAGCCUUUCGGGGUGGAUUAGUGGCGAACGGGUGAGUAACACGUGGGCAAUCUGCCCUUCACUCUGGGACAAGCCCUGGAAACGGGGUCUAAUACCGGAUAACACUCUGUCCUGCAUGGGACGGGGUUAAAAGCUCCGGCGGUGAAGGAUGAGCCCGCGGCCUAUCAGCUUGUUGGUGGGGUAAUGGCCUACCAAGGCGACGACGGGUAGCCGGCCUGAGAGGGCGACCGGCCACACUGGGACUGAGACACGGCCCAGACUCCUACGGGAGGCAGCAGUGGGGAAUAUUGCACAAUGGGCGAAAGCCUGAUGCAGCGACGCCGCGUGAGGGAUGACGGCCUUCGGGUUGUAAACCUCUUUCAGCAGGGAAGAAGCGAAAGUGACGGUACCUGCAGAAGAAGCGCCGGCUAACUACGUGCCAGCAGCCGCGGUAAUACGUAGGGCGCAAGCGUUGUCCGGAAUUAUUGGGCGUAAAGAGCUCGUAGGCGGCUUGUCACGUCGGAUGUGAAAGCCCGGGGCUUAACCCCGGGUCUGCAUUCGAUACGGGCUAGCUAGAGUGUGGUAGGGGAGAUCGGAAUUCCUGGUGUAGCGGUGAAAUGCGCAGAUAUCAGGAGGAACACCGGUGGCGAAGGCGGAUCUCUGGGCCAUUACUGACGCUGAGGAGCGAAAGCGUGGGGAGCGAACAGGAUUAGAUACCCUGGUAGUCCACGCCGUAAACGUUGGGAACUAGGUGUUGGCGACAUUCCACGUCGUCGGUGCCGCAGCUAACGCAUUAAGUUCCCCGCCUGGGGGAGUACGGCCGCAAGGCUAAAACUCAAAGGAAUUUGACGGG